AAAGGUAAGGUGCUUAAAAGGACCUUGUAAGACUUCGUCACUAAUGUUCAUUAAAGAGAAAAUAAAAAGAAAUCUGUGUUUUGUAGCUUUAAUGAUAAUUCUUACUGUAUGUAUUUCAUUUAGAAUUUAGCAUUAAAGACUGUAAAGUGUUUGAGGAUUUAAUUUAAAUUCUGUAUAUUUCACACUAUUUUUUUAUUGAACAUUGUGUUUUGAAAAAUACAUCACUAGUCAAUUGCAACCUCAAGUUAAUGUAGACUUUAAGGAACUUGUUUGUCUGAAAGUGGAUAUAUAAAGAUUUUUUGUUUUAAGAUGCUGCAUGGAAUGACAAUGUGGUUUGGAACAGACUUGGUGAAGAACAUGGAAACAUCUCUUAAUAAAAUGGCCCCAAACAUCAUCAGGAGUGCAAAAGAAGGAAGUAAAAACAUCUCUACGCCAAUCUCAUUGGAGAGGAAACCACAGAAGGUCUGGUGAGGAAUGCUGCACUUAUGUUAUUGCAAGCAUUAUUUCAAGAAAAUCCCAGCUUCCUUUACUGUGUAAAUAGUGAACCCAAAGGUCCCACACCAACCAUAGUGUUCAACGGCUCUCCUGAUCUUUUCAAAUCUGAAUGUAUCAACUUUAUAAUGGACAAUGUGAACUUAAUAUGUGGAAGACAUUGACAUCACAGGCUGUGGAAUGACUGUGUCACAGGUCGGAGAAGUGGACCGCCCCUGUCGCGGAUCACGCUCCUCCUAGUUCCACCUCGAGGAGGUCCCAAAGCACCCCAAUGACCAGACAAACCAGAGAUAAGUAAAAUAUAGAAAUAGAAACUUUAUUUAAAUUAUUUAAAACUAAAGUGGGGAAUGGGAAAGGGACUAAAAAAAUCUCGCUUCUCGUCCUCAGGGGGAGUAUUACGGGGCCAGGGACGUUGGAGGGGUUUCCACGUGACUCCAGCUGGAACACCGCUACAGAGCAUAUCUGGGUGGGUUGGGCACACACCGUCGUGGCGGCCCCUGAUGGCAUCCACAAGGGUCCAAGACCCUCCUAAGCUCCUAGCCGUAGCAGAACUACAUAUUUCAGCACCCGAAGGACUAACAACCCAGCCGGCAUCUGCAGCGUAUAUCCAACGCGAUCAAACUUCACUCUGACAAGUAACUUCCUAUACACAACCACGCCGUCCUUUCGCCCGGACCAGCCCCGCACUCUUUCCGCCCGCUACCUAGCGGUCGCCGGAUCAGGAGAGCCUGCGGACUCUUCGGAGGCUGGUCUUCGUUGUGCUGCCCAAGGCGGAAGUUGACUCGCCCGAAAAUCGACCCUUUCAGUAACUUCUACCUUCUCUCUUUAUAUCCUCCUCCCAGGCGUGGCGAGCCUGGGAGGAGGAUAUAACAGCUGUGCCUUGUUUCAGCGAGUGCGGGGAUUCCCGGGGAACCCUGAAGUGCCGGUGUCUGUACAAACUGGUCCGGGCGGAACCUCUUCACUCUCCUUUUGGUUCCGCCCCGCAUAGUCACUCCGUGACAACUGUUUGCGUUUUUUUUUCUCCUCAAUGUUCAAUACCCUUUUGCCAUUAAGCACACAGUGACUUUAAUUUAUAAAAUAUAUGCUUAAGUUUUAAUACCUGUACAAAACAAAUGUACAAUCAACUUGUGUAAAUUUUAAUAAAAAUUUAAGCUUUAAUUGCUUGUUCAUGUUAGUUCAGAGUGCAUUAACUAAUGUUAACAAGAUUUUAAUAAAGUAAUUGUUGAAAUUAACAUUAACAAAGAUUAAUAAAGGCUGUAUAAGUGCAGUUCAUUAUUAGUUCAUGUUAACUAAUGUAGCUAACUAAUGUUAACUAAUGAACCUUAUUGUAAAGUGUUACCGUGAUUUCUUUUCAUCAUUUCAGACACAUGUAAAAGUUACUAAAAAUUAAUACUGCAUAUACUGUACAGUAUCUAUACGUAAGGGAAAUAAACACAAUUUUUAAUGUAUAGUGUAAUUAAGAGUUUAGCUGUUUAAUACAGAGAUGCAAUUUAUUUAUAUAUAUUAUUUAUAUAUAAAAGUAUGUAUGUUUAUUAAAAAGUGAAAAUGCUUAAUGGAAAUAAUUAAAUAACUAAAUGGUUGAAUGUAAUGAGACAUUUUAAAUGUAAACUAAAGUUUUGCUGUCUAAUACAGAAUAAAGAGAUGUGAUUUUAA